GAGAAUCAUUCACAAUGGGGGCAACCCUGAUGGUGCAACGCCGCGUGGAGGAUGAAGGCCCUAGGGUCGUAAACUCCUGUCAUCAAAGAGUAAGGCAUAGUCGUUAAAAGCUGCUAUGCUUGAUAGUAUUUGAAGAGGAAGGGACGGCUAACUUCGUGCCAGCAGCCGCGGUAAUACGAAGGUCCCGAGCGUUAUUCGGAAUCACUGGGCGUAAAGGGAGCGUAGGCUGCGUGGUAAGUCAGAUGUGAAAGCCCAAGGCUCAACCUUGGAACUGCAUUCGAUACUGCCAUGCUAGAGUAGUGGAGAGGUAGAUGGAAUUUUCGGUGUAGCAGUGAAAUGCGUAGAUAUCG
rnacentral:rRNA from 1 species